UUUUGGGCCCACCAUGAAGUCACCGAUACAAGAAAACACACCCAACUUCAUGUACACACAACCAUGUGCCUCCAGCUCCAAACAUACUGGAGUGUACCACAACCUUUGUGAAAAUUCCUUAGGGAUAUGGAAAAGGGGGUACACAGCACGGCAGAGAGCAAAACAACCCCCCAAAUUGCCGUGUAAACAUCUCCGAUGUCUCAGUUCCUCCAGCAGCGACCCAAAGCCCCUGGCCCACGCCAAGGCUUGACUGCUUCAGAUCCACAGCUCUACCCGGUAUCCAGCUCAUCACACCAAAGGCAGCAUAACUGGUCCGUUCAGCCUGAGGAUUCUUCUCCUCAGAGAGAGAUGAGGAACUUCAGCUCAGAACCACUGUUCUUUCUCCUCUGGGAUGUCUCUAAUGUAUUAAUGUGAAAUGUGGUGGUCACACACUCAGACACUCCCACCUCAAUUUUUAAAGAUGGAGACAUUCUGAAUGAUGGCUUCGUUAGCUUAUUUACUAAAGCUAAUUAAAGUAGAUACUUUGGAAGUCUCACAGAAAACUUCAGUCUCUAUUGUUCCAAUUUGAGUAUAUGUGCUACCGAAGCGAGCACUAAAACUUCAGUCUUUAGAACACCGGAUGACACCAUUUCAAACAGUAAACCACGUAUCUUGUUCACAGAUGAGCUUUAAAAAGUAUAAGCUUUUAUAUUCCCAAACACCUCGUCUGUCAAUUUGGGGUGAACGGGUCCAAAGGGGAGAGGGAAAUAACCUUGCUUUCCCUUGUCUGUAGAAGUGACUGCUUUUAAAGUUAUCACAUGAGCAGAAUUUGAUGAAUACUGCUAUUUAGCUGACUUCUGUUUCAUUGUAUGAUAUCCUUUAAAAUCUAAAUUUCCUGGUAUAACUGUCUUGAAUAAUUCAUUUUUAGCAAGAUUACACAGGGAUGGCUGCUGGAUAUUUACUUUGGAUCUGAGAGUAUGAGUGAAGAAUAUUAGCUAAGAAAUGUACUAUUGGUAGGUUACAAAAAGCCACGUGUGGCCACAAAAAUUUCCAUUUAUACUGUGUUCCAAACUCCAUAUAUUUAGAAGCUCUCAUCUCAAUUCCAUGCUGAUGACUUUGAGUUAGGCAAAAACUGACCGUGAAAACUGUCUUCCUUUAGAGUUUCAGCAUUGUUUUCCAAGAAGCAAUUUACAAAAGAAAAUUCGUUUGAAAUUAAACAUCUUGAUUUUCAAAUGAUGGUUUUUAUGAUCCCUGAUUUUAAGGAGGUAUCAAGGAACAGG